GAGUUUGAUCAUGGCUCAGAUUGAACGCUGGCGGCGUGGCUAAAGCAUGCAAGUCGAGCGAACCCGCAAGGGUGAGCGGCGAAAGGGUUAGUAACACGAUCGAACGUGCCCCGAGGCGGGGGAUAGCGGCGGGAAACUGCCGGUAAUACCCCAUGAUCUCUCCGGAGCAAAGGUUUACCACCUUGGGAUCGGCGAUCGUCCUAUCAGCUAGUUGGCGGGGUAACGGCCCACCAAGGCGAUGACGGGUAGCGGGUGUGAGAGCACGGCCCGCAACAUCGGGACUGAGACACUGCCCGGACUCCUACGGGAGGCUGCAGCGGCGAAUCUUCCGCAAUGGGCGCAAGCCUGACGGAGCGACGCCGCGUGUGGGAUGAAGCGCCUUCGGCGUGUAAACCACUGUCAAGGGUAGAACCAACGAUCACCCCUAAAGGAAGAGACGGCUAACUCUGUGCCAGCCGCCGCGGU
rnacentral:rRNA from 1 species